rnacentral:lncRNA from 1 species
UAUACUUUUCCGACUUCAGAAGUAUAGAACAAUCGAUCACCAUCACAUCUAAACAAAUCAAAACAAAAAAACUCUAUUUUUUUCAGAAAAAUGUAGCACGCUACUCACUUCAUUCAUUUAGUAGAUGAAUUUAGCUCCAAGGAUUGAGAUAACGCGGUCUCGAAAAACAUUAAAGACAAUAAAAAUAAAAAAAGACAAAUAAAAAAAAAUUAUAGAAAAAUUGAUUGUUCUACUUCUCACUUAUAAUCAAGUCAUCAAAAACUGCAAAACUCAAU